rnacentral:rRNA from 1 species
CCUACGGGAGGCAGCAGUGAGGAAUAUUGGUCAAUGGACGAGAGUCUGAACCAGCCAAGUAGCGUGAAGGAUGACUGCCCUAUGGGUUGUAAACUUCUUUUAUAUGGGAAUAAAACGUUCCACGUGUGGGAUUUUGUAUGUACCAUAUGAAUAAGGAUCGGCUAACUCCGUGCCAGCAGCCGCGGUAAUGCGGAGGAUACGAGCGUUAUCCGGAUUUAUUGGGUUUACAGGGAGCGUAGGUGGAUUGUAAAGUGAGUUGUGAAAGUUUGCGGCUCAACCGUAAAAUUGCAGUUGAAACUGGCAGUCUUGAGUACAGUAGAGGUGGGCGGAAUUCGUGGUGUAGCGGUGAAAUGCUUAGAUAUCACGAAGAACUCCGAUUGCGAAGGCAGUUCACUGGACUGCAACUGACACUGAGGCUCGAAAGUGUGGGUAUCAAACAGGAUUAGAUACCCUUGUAGUC